rnacentral:rRNA from 1 species
UAAGGAAUAUUGGUCAAUGGACGAAAGUCUGAACCAGCCAUGCCGCGUGGAGGAUGAAGGCCCUCUGGGUUGUAAACUUCUUUUAUAUGGGACGAAAAAGGGUCUUUCUAGAUCAACUGACGGUACCAGGUGAAUAAGCACCGGCCAACUCCGUGCCAGCAGCCGCGGUAAUACGGAGGGUGCAAGCGCUAUCCGGAUUCAUAGGGUUUAAAGGGUGCGUAGGAGGGUUGGUAAGUCAGUGGUGAAAUCUCCGAGCUUAACUUGGAAACUGCCAUUGAUACUAUCAAUCUUGAUUAUUGUGGAGGUUAGCGGAAUAUGUCAUGUAGAGGUGAAAUGCUUAGAUAUGACAUAGAACACCCAUUGCGAAGGCAGCUGGCUACGCAUAUAUUGACACUGAGGCACGAAAGCGUGAGGAUCAAACA